rnacentral:rRNA from 1 species
GAUGAACGCUGGCGGCGUGCUUAACACAUGCAAGUCGAACGGAAAGGCCCAACCUUGCUUGGGUACUCGAGUGGCGAACGGGUGAGUAACACGUGGGUAACCUGCCCUUGACUUCGGGAUAACUUCGGGAAACUGGGGCUAAUACCGGAUAGGAGCUCCUUCUGCAUGGUGGGGGGUGGAAAUUUUCGGCGGGGGGGGAUGGACUCGCGGCUUAUCAGCUUGUUGGUGGGGUAGUGGCUUACCAAGGCUUUGACGGGUAGCCGGCCUGAGAGGGUGACCGGCCACAUUGGGACUGAGAUACGGCCCAGACUCCUACGGGAGGCAGCAGUGGGGAAUAUUGCACAAUGGGCGGAAGCCUGAUGCAGCAACGCCGCGUGCGGGAUGACGGCCUUCGGGUUGUAAACUGCUUUCGCUAGUGACGAAGCGUGAGUGACGGUAAUUGGUGAAGAAGCACCGGCUAACUACGUG